AAUAAACUGGAAAAAAUUAAUAAAGUUUUGUUGGACUCUGUAACAACUAAGUUGAAAAAAGUAAACAAGAAAUAACAAGGCAGAAUUUACACUAUUUCUUAUUGGAAACAAGAUGGAACUGAUAUUGAACUGUCAAAAGAUUAAAAACUAGUUGCUGUUGUUAUAUCAGGGAAGUUUAAAUUUUUUUAAUUGGAAUAUGAAAUUAAUGUAAAAAUGCUCACAGUAUAGCAAGUUUUGUAACCAGCAAAAUAACUCCCACAAGUUUAAUGGCUUGCAAAUAGGUUUUGGAAGUUUUAUGGCUUGCAAAUAGGUUUUGCAAGUUUUGUGGCUUGAAAAUAAGUAAAACAAGUUUUUUGACUACCAAAUAAGUACCACAAGUUUUGUUGCUUGCAAAUAAGGUAUAGCAAGUUUUGUGGCUUGCAAAGAGGUACCACAAGUUUUGUGGCUUGCAAAUAUAGUACAGCAAGUUUUGUAGCUUACAAAUAGGUAUUGGAAGUUUUGUGGCUUGCAAAUAGGUACUGCAAAUUUUGUGACUUGCAAAAUAAGUAUCGCAAGUUUUGUUGCUUGCAAAUAAGGUACAGUAAGUUUUGUGGCUUGCAAGUAGGUACCGCAAGUUUUGUGGCUUGCAAAUCGAUAGUUGACUCUUGCUUACCUUUACGUGGUGUCUAUUGUUAAAAAUUAUUCAUUUUGUUUCGUUAAUGUAAUUUAAAAAUUAAAUUAUUUACUAAAAGCCCAGACAAGAAAUAAUUACAUUUUUUAUUUCAAAAAACUUGUUUUUUUUUGUGUGUUUUUUUCUCAGGUUGGAGUGGUUAAUCUGUUCCUUUACAUGAUAAUGUAUACUCAGAUGCAUCUUGUAAUGUGUUAAAAUAGUUUUUUAUUCUAAUUUCUUUUUCUUUAAAAAAACAUUUAAAGACAUCUUUGUUAAAUUGUAAUUAAAAAUUUUUUUGGUUCUGACAGAGGAGGAUGGCUUGCUCCUCUUUUUAUAAAGACAAAUUAUACACCUCUAGGUGUAUAAAUUGCCUUUAUGAAAGGGGGUGCAUAAAGGCAAUUUAUACAUACUAUACUAAACUUUUUCAUUUCAAAUGGCUUGUUGUUUUCGUGUAUUUUUUUUUAAGUUGGAGUGUGUAAUCGGUCUUUUUUCAUGACAAAAUGGUUACUCUGAUGCAUUUUCAAUUGCAAGUUUCCAAAUACAUGCAAAGUAAAACUGUUGGCGACAUGGCACAUGUAUUAAAGUCUUCUGUCACAGUUGACUCAGCAAGAAUGAAGACAUUGAUACACUUUUGCAUUAUGGAAUGCACAAGAUGACAGUUCCUCGCCCACUGCCAUCCAAAUACAGGUAGGUAUGCAUGCAUACACAACCUUCAAAAUUAGUAAAACUAAAAUGAGUUAUAAAUUGUCGACAUUUUAAGAUAUGAAAAGAUAUUAUUGUUAAAUUUCAAAAGUGUACUCCAAUAAGUUCCAUCACUUCGUGAUGGAACUUAUUGGAGUACACUUUUUUUGGACAUAGGAGGAGUAUUGCCGCUGCAAGCAUGAACAAUAAUAAAACAUUCCAAAGAAUAAUUUGUUAUUUCAACGAUUAGAUUUGAUGUUUAAAUGUAUAAA
rnacentral:lncRNA from 1 species